UUUCAGGUGGUUCCUGCGGACUCGGACUUUUUUCGGGGUGGGUAUAAAGCAUGGGAAGCAUUGUAGCAAUACAAGGCGGACGGCUCAUUAACACGUAGUCAACCUAACUCGUGGACGUGGAUAACCUCGGGAAACUGAGAAUAAACCACGAUAGACCAUAGUGCCUGGAAUGGCUUAUGGUCCAAACAGUUUACUGCCAUGGGAUGGGACUGCGGCCUAUCAUCUUGUUGGUGAGGUAAUGGCCCACCAAGGCGAUUACAGAUACGGGCUCUGAGAGGAGAACCCCGGAGAUGGGUACUGAGACACGGACCCAGGCCCUAUGGGGCGCAGCAGGCGAGAAACCUUAGCAAUGUGCGAAAGCACGACUGGGUCAGUCCGAGUGAUUCCUGAUAAAGGAGUCUUUUGCCUGUCCUAAAAGCACAGGUGAAUAAGGGGUGGGCAAGUCUGGUGUCAGCCGCCGCGGUAAUACCAGCACCUCGAGUGGUCAGGACGUUUAUUGGGCCUAAAGCAUCCGUACCCGGCUUUGCAAGUCUUCGGUUAAAUCCACCUGCUCAACAGAUGGGCUGCUGGAGAUACUACAAAGCUAGGGAGUGGGAGAGGCAGACGGUAUUCAGUGGGUAGGGGUAAAAUCCUCUGAUCCAUUGAGGACCACCAGUGGCGAAGGCGGUCUGCCAGAACACGUUCGACGGUGAGGGAUGAAAGCUGGGGGAGCAAACCGGAUUAGAUACCCGGGUAGUCCCAGCUGUAAACGAUGCAAACUCGGUGAUGCAUUGGCUUAUGUCCAAUGCAGUGCCGCGGGGAAGCCGUUAAGUUUAAAGCCUGCCAAGUUCGGUCGCNNGUCUGANUCGGGCCCAUUAAGGAGGGGGGCACA
rnacentral:rRNA from 1 species